AGUCUGGUGCCAGCAGCCGCGGUAAUUCCAGCUCCAAUAGCGAAUAUUAAAUUUGUUGCAGUUAAAAAGCUCGUAGUUGGAUCCAAGGUUAGGCAUGCCUGUCUGUUCUUAGUAGCAUGACUGUGUGUGUCUGCCUUUAUUAGUUGAAUGUUCAUUAUGGUGGUCUUCAUCGACUGCUAUGAUGUGCUCAACACGUUUACCUUGAAAAAAUCAGAGCGAUCAAGGCAGGCCUUCGUGCUUGUAUGUUGUUGCAAGGAAUAAUAGAAUAGGACUUCGGUUCUAUUUUGUUGGUUUUGAGAAUUGAAGUAAUGAACAAUAGAGACAGUCGGGGGCAUUUGUAUGGUGGCGUUAGAGGUGAAAUUCUGAGAUCGUCGCCAGACAAACUACCGCGAAAGCAUUUGCCAAGGAUGUCUUCAUUAAUCAAGAACGAAAGUCAGAGGUUCGAAGACGAUCAGAUACCGUCCUAGUUCUGACCAUAAACGAUGCCGACCUACAAUCGGGGGUGGUUUAUUAUAUUGACCCUCCCGGCUGUCCUCAGGAAACUUUAAGUUGGUUCUGGGGGGAAUAUGGUCUCAAGACUGAAACUUAAAGGAAUUGACGGAAGGGCACCACCAGGAGUGGAGCCUGCGGCUUAAUUUGACCCAACACGGGGAGUCUCACCCGGUCCGGACACUGGUAGGAUGGACAGAUUGAUAGCUCUUUCUUGAUUCAGUGGGUGGUGGUGCAUGGCCGUUCUUAGUUGGUGGAGUGAUUUGUCUGGUUAAUUCCGAUAACGAACGAGACUCUGUCCUGCUAAAUAGUCCAGUGGCAUCAAUCACUAUGUGAUUACAGCUGCUGUUACUUCUUAGAGGGAUUCGCGGAUUUAAACCGCAAGAAAUAGAGCAAUAACAGGUCUGUGAUGCCCUUAGAUGUCCGGGGCCGCACGCGCGCUACAUUGACAGUAGAAGCGAGUAUUUCUACCUGGUUCGAAAGAAUUGGGAAAUCUUCGAAUUACUGUCUCCACAGGGAUUGAGGUUUGCAAUUUUGCCUCAUGAACGAGGAAUUCCCAGUAGGCGCAAGUCAUCAGCUUGCGUCGAUUACGUCCCUGCCCUUUGUACACACCGCCCGUCGCUACUACCGAUUGAGUGCAUUAGUGAGGACCUCGGAUUGAGAACAUAGUGGCGCAAGUUACUUUGUUUUCGAAAAGUGGUUCAAAUUUGUGCAUUUAGAGAUAGUAAAAGUCGU
rnacentral:rRNA from 1 species